rnacentral:tRNA from 1 species
GUCUGUAGUAUAGUGGAAAGUACACGAGGGCAUUAAUCGCGAUGCGUGGGUUCGAGUCCCACCGGACA